ensembl:misc_RNA Metazoa_SRP Metazoan signal recognition particle RNA
GCCAGGUGUGGUGGCUCACACCUGUAAUCCCAGUGCUUUGGGAGGCUGAAGCAAGAGGAUCACUUGAGCCCAGGAUUUGAGAUUACGGUGAGCUAUGAUUGUGCCACUGGAUCCCAGCCUGGGCAACAGAGUGAGACCCUGUCUCUU